UACGUAGGGUGCGAGCGUUGUCCGGAACUAUUGGGCGUAAAGAGCUUGUAGGCGGUCUGUCGCGUCUGCUGUGAAAAUCCGGGGCUCAACCCCGGACUUGCAGUGGGUACGGGCAGACUAGAGUGUGGUAGGGGAGACUGGAAUUCCUGGUGUAGCGGUGAAAUGCGCAGAUAUCAGGAGGAACACCGAUGGCGAAGGCAGGUCUCUGGGCCACUACUGACGCUGAGAAGCGAAAGCAUGGGGAGCGAACAGG
rnacentral:rRNA from 1 species